UACGUAGGGGGCAAGCGUUGUCCGGAAUCAUUGGGCGUAAAGCGCGCGUAGGCGGCCCGGUAAGUCCGCUCUGAAAGUCCAGGGCUCAACCCUGGAAAGCGGGUGGAUACUGCCGGGCUAGAGUCCGGAAGAGGCGAGUGGAAUUCCUGGUGUAGCGGUGAAAUGUGUAGAGAUCGGGAGGAACACCGGUGGCGAAGGCGGGUCUCUGGGCAUUUCCUGACGCUGAGGCGCGAAAGCGUGGGGAGCAAACGGG
rnacentral:rRNA from 1 species